CACGUAGGGGGCGAGCGUUGUCCGGAUUCAUUGGGCGUAAAGAGCUCGUAGGCGGCUUGUCGCGUCGACUGUGAAAACCCGUGGCUCAACCAUGUGGUCUGCAGUCGAUACGGGCAGGCUAGAAUUCGGUAGGGGAGACUGGAAUUCCUGGUGUAGCGGUGAAAUGCGCAGAUAUCAGGAGGAACACCGGUGGCGAAGGCGGGUCUCUGGGCCGAUAUUGACGCUGAGGAGCGAAAGCGUGGGGAGCGAACAGG
rnacentral:rRNA from 1 species